rnacentral:rRNA from 1 species
AAGGUAGCGUAAUCAUUUGCCCUUUAAUUGUGGGCUGGUAUGAAUGGGUAAACGAGGGUAAUACUGUCUCUCUUUUGUUUCUAAAAUUUAGAUUUUAGGUGAAUAUGCCUAAAUAAUAGUAAAAGACAAGAAGACCCCGUAGAGCUUUUAACAGGUCUUUUAUAUGAAAUAUAAAAUUAUUGUUUUAGUUGGGGCGACAAAGGACUAUCCAAAGCGUCCUUUUUAAUUUUUAGAGUUUAACUCUUUUUUGAUCCGCUUUAAGCGAUUAAAAGAAGAAGCUACCUCGGGGAUAACAGGCUAAUCUACUUAAAGAGUUCACAUUGAUAAGUUAGGUUUGGCACCUCGAUGUUGGCUCAGGGU